UGGACCAGAAGAUCGUCCUGGAGCUGGACCGGAAGGUGGCUGACCAGCAGAGCACACUGGAGAAGGCGGGGGUGGCUGGCUUCUACGUGACCACCAACCCACAGAGCUGAUGCUGCAGAUGAACCUGCUGGAACUCAUCCGGAAGCUGCAGCAGAGGGGCUGCUGGGCAGGGAAGGCAGCCCUGGGGCUAGGAGGUCCCUGGCAGUUGCCUGCUGCCCAGUGUGACCAGAAAGGCAGCCCUGUCCCACCA
rnacentral:lncRNA from 1 species